AUUGAACGCCGGCGGCAGGCCUAACACAUGCAAGUCGGGCGGUAGCACAGAAGAGCUUGCUCUUUGGGUGACGAGCGGCGGACGGGUGAGUAAUGUCUGGGAAACUGCCUGAUGGAGGGGGAUAACUACUGGAAACGGUAGCUAAUACCGCAUAACCUCGCAAGAGCAAAGAGGGGGACCUUCGGGCCUCUCGCCAUCAGAUGUGCCCAGAUGGGAUUAGCUAGUAGGUGAGGUAAUGGCUCACCUAGGCGACGAUCCCUAGCUGGUCUGAGAGGAUGACCAGCCACACUGGAACUGAGACACGGUCCAGACUCCUACGGGAGGCAGCAGUGGGGAAUAUUGCACAAUGGGCCCAAGCCUGAUGCAGCCAUGCCGCGUGUGUGAAGAAGGCCUUCGGGUUGUAAAGCACUUUCAGCGGGGAGGAAGGCGGUGAGGUUAAUAACCUUAUCGAUUGACGUUACCCGCAGAAGAAGCACCGGCUAACUCCGUGCCAGCCGCCGCGGUAAGAC
rnacentral:rRNA from 1 species